rnacentral:rRNA from 1 species
AUUGAACGCUGGCGGCAGGCCUAACACAUGCAAGUCGAACGAGUGGCGGACGGGUGAGUAAUGUCUGGGAACUUGCCUGCUGGAGGGGGAUAACUACUGGAAACGGUAGCUACUACCGCAUACCAUCAGAUGUGCCCCGAAGGGUUUAGCUUGUUGGUGGGGUAACGGCUCCCCAAGGAGACGACCCCUAGCUGGUCUGAGAGGAUGACCAGCCACACUGGAACUGAGACACGGUGCAGACUCCUACGGGAGGCAGCAGUGGGGAAUAGUGCACAAUGGGCGCAAGCCUGAUGCAGCCAUGCCGCGUGUAUGAAGAAGGCCUUCGGGUUGUAAAGUACUUUCAGCGGGGAGGCGUUACCCGCAGAAGAAGCACCGGCGAACUCCGUGCCAGCAGCCGCGGUAAUAC